ensembl:ncRNA ZK180.11 ncRNA
UAGUUCUUAAGCCUUAGCCUCAGCCUGAGCCUAAGCCUAAGUCUUACCCUAAGCCUGAGCCUAAGCCUACACCUAAGUCUAUGCCAAAACAUUCGUAUUUCUACUGCAGGUGCACUUUAUAAUUGAAUCGA